rnacentral:rRNA from 1 species
GACGAACGCUGGCGGCGUGCUUAACACAUGCAAGUCGAACGGAAAGGCCCUGCUUUUGUGGGGUGCUCGAGUGGCGAACGGGUGAGUAACACGUGAGUAACCUGCCCUUGACUUUGGGAUAACUUCAGGAAACUGGGGCUAAUACCGGAUAGGAGCUCCUGCUGCAUGGUGGGGGUUGGAAAGUUUCGGCGGUUGGGGAUGGACUCGCGGCUUAUCAGCUUGUUGGUGGGGUAGUGGCUUACCAAGGCUUUGACGGGUAGCCGGCCUGAGAGGGUGACCGGCCACAUUGGGACGGAGAUACGGCCCAGACUCCUACGGGAGGCAGCAGUGGGGAAUAUUGCACAAUGGGCGGAAGCCUGAUGCAGCAACGCCGCGUGCGGGAUGACGGCCUUCGGGUUGUAAACCGCUUUCGCCUGUGACGAAGCGUGGGUGACGGUAAUGGGUAAAGAAGCACCGGCUAACUACGUG